CGUAAAUGCAAAGCUAUGACAGGUCUCAGCUGGACAGUGUUUGUGUGUUUACACGAUUUUUUACUCCAGUUUAUAAAAGAAAGAAGCUUUAAAGUGCCUACACAAGACCAACUAUUUAUAACAUUGCUCAAACUUCGACAAAACCCAUCAAUCUCCCUUCUCUGUCAUGUCCUGAAUAUGAAAACCUCGACCGUGACUGACAUGCUAACCAGAUGGAUCAAUAUCAUGCAUUCCAAAAUAACAUUUCUCAUUCAUUGGCCAGACAGGGAAUGUAUCUUUACUGCAAUGCCUCCUGUUAUGAAAGCGAAAUUCCCACAGCUAACAUCCAUCAUUGACUGUUUUGAGAUACGCAUCGAAUAUUCAAGGAAAUUGAAGGCAAGAGCAAAGACGUACUCUCACUACAAGAAGUGGGCUACGGUGAAGUACUUCAUUGCUUGUAACCCAGCUGGGAGUGUCACGUUUUUAUCGAAGGGAUGGGGUGGCAGAGCAUCUGAUGUCAAGAUUGUUAGACAGUCAGGAUUCAUAUCCCACCUGUACCACCAACCUGGAGAUCAGAUCUUAGCUGAUCGAGGUUUUACACUUCAAGAGGACUUUGCAUUGUUAGGUGCACAUCUCAUUACUCCAGCAUUUACAAAGGGGAGGAAACAGCUGUCAGGAAGAGAAGUGGAAGAAUCCAGACUGAAAUCCAAUGUGCGGAUUC